AGCCCCAAGGUGUUAAACAUAUAAGAUUGCAAAUCUUAAGAGGCAGGCUAAUCACCUGCUGGGGCUU
rnacentral:tRNA from 1 species